rnacentral:rRNA from 1 species
AGUGAACGCUGGCGGUAGGCCUAACACAUGCAAGUCGAACGGCAGCACAGUAAGAGCUUGCUCUUACGGGUGGCGAGUGGCGGACGGGUGAGGAAUACAUCGGAAUCUACUUUUUCGUGGGGGAUAACGUAGGGAAACUUACGCUAAUACCGCAUACGACCUACGGGUGAAAGCAGGGGAUCUUCGGACCUUUCGCGAUUGAAUGAGCCGAUGUCGGAUUAGCUAGUUGGCGGGGUAAAGGCCCACCAAGGCGACGAUCCGUAGCUGGUCUGAGAGGAUGAUCGGCCACACUGGAACUGAGACACGGUCCAGACUCCUACGGGAGGCAGCAGUGGGGAAUAUUGGACAAUGGGCGAAAGCCUGAUCCAGCCAUACUGCGUGGGUGAAGAAGGCCUUCGGGUUGUAAAGCCCUUUUGUUGGGAAAGAAAAGCAGCAGGUUAAUACCCCGCUGUUCUGACGGUACCCAAAGAAUAAGCACCGGCUAACUUCGUG